UGGCAAAAAUGUGUUGAUUGUAAUGGUUUCUAUUUUGAUUAACAAAGAUGUGUUGGAGCCUAGUUAUAAUGAUUUGAAAUUCAUGGUCCAAAACUGCAAAUACUUUUGCACCAAC
rnacentral:miRNA from 1 species